rnacentral:rRNA from 1 species
AUUGAACGCUGGCGGCAUGCCUUACACAUGCAAGUCGAACGGUAACAGGGAGCUUGCUCCGCUGACGAGUGGCGAACGGGUGAGUAAAGUAUCGGAACGUACCUUUCAGUGGGGGAUAACGUAGCGAAAGUUACGCUAAUACCGCAUAUUCUGUGAGCAGGAAAGCAGGGGAUCGCAAGACCUUGCGCUGAUUGAGCGGCCGAUAUCAGAUUAGCUAGUUGGUGAGGUAAAGGCUCACCAAGACGACGAUCUGUAGCGGGUCUGAGAGGAUGAUCCGCCACACUGGAACUGAGACACGGUCCAGACUCCUACGGGAGGCAGCAGUGGGGAAUUUUGGACAAUGGGGGCAACCCUGAUCCAGCCAUGCCGCGUGAGUGAAGAAGGCCUUCGGGUUGUAAAGCUCUUUCGGCCGGGAAGAAAUCGCAUGGGUUAAUACCCUGUGCGGAUGACGGUACCGGCAUAAGAAGCACCGGCUAACUACGUGCCAGCAGCCGCGGUAAUACGUAGGGUGCGAGCGUUAAUCGGAAUUACUGGGCGUAAAGCGUGCGCAGGCGGUUUUGUAAGACAGGCGUGAAAUCCCCGGGCUCAACCUGGGAACUGCGCUUGUGACUGCAAGGCUAGAGUAUGGCAGAGGG